GACGAACGCUGGCGGCGUGCUUAACACAUGCAAGUCGAACGGAAAGGCCCUGCUUUUGUGGGGUGCCCGAGUGGCGAACGGGUGAGUAACACGUGAGUAACCUGCCCUUGACUUUGGGAUAACUUCAGGAAACUGGGGCUAAUACCGGAUAGGAGCUCCUGCUGCAUGGUGGGGGUUGGAAAGUUUCGGCGGUUGGGGAUGGACUCGCGGCUUAUCAGCUUGUUGGUGGGGUAGUGGCUUACCAAGGCUUUGACGGGUAGCCGGCCUGAGAGGGUGACCGGCCACAUUGGGACUGAGAUACGGCCCAGACUCCUACGGGAGGCAGCAGUGGGGAAUAUUGCACAAUGGGCGGAAGCCUGAUGCAGCAACGCCGCGUGCGGGAUGACGGCCUUCGGGUUGUAAACCGCUUUCGCCUGUGACGAAGCGUGAGUGACGGUAAUGGGUAAAGAAGCACCGGCUAACUACGUGCCAGCAGCCGCGGUGAUACGUAGGGUGCGAGCGUUGUCCGGAUUUAUUGGGCGUAAAGGGCUCGUAGGUGGUUGAUCGCGUCGGAAGUGUAAUCUUGGGGCUUAACCCUGAGCGUGCUUUCGAUACGGGUUGACUUGAGGAAGGUAGGGGAGAAUGGAAUUCCUGGUGGAGCGGUGGAAUGCGCAGAUAUCAGGAGGAACACCAGUGGCGAAGGCGGUUCUCUGGGCCUUUCCUGACGCUGAGGAGCGAAAGCGUGGGGAGCGAACAGGCUUAGAUACCCUGGUAGUCCACGCUGUAAACGGUGGGUACUAGGUGUGGGGUCCAUUCCACGGGUUCCGUGCCGUAGCUAACGCUUUAAGUACCCCGCCUGGGGAGUACGGCCGCAAGGCUAAAACUCAAAGGAAUUGACGGGGCCCCGCACAAGCGGCGGAGCAUGCGGAUUAAUUCGAUGCAACGCGUAGAACCUUACCUGGGUUUGACAUGGAUCGGGAGUGCUCAGAGAUGGGUGUGCCUCUUUUGGGGUCGGUUCACAGGUGGUGCAUGGCUGUCGUCAGCUCGUGUCGUGAGAUGUUGGGUUAAGUCCCGCAACGAGCGCAACCCUUGUUCACUGUUGCCAGCACGUUAUGGUGGGGACUCAGUGGAGACCACCGGGGUCAACUCGGAGGAAGGUGGGGAUGACGUCAAGUCAUCAUGCCCCUUAUGUCCAGGGCUUCACGCAUGCUACAAUGGCUGGUACAGAGAGUGGCGAGCCUGUGAGGGUGAGCGAAUCUCGGAAAGCCGGUCUCAGUUCGGAUUGGGGUCUGCAACUCGACCUCAUGAAGUCGGAGUCGCUAGUAAUCGCAGAUCAGCAACGCUGCGGUGAAUACGUUCCCGGGGCU
rnacentral:rRNA from 1 species